rnacentral:tRNA from 1 species
AUUUAUAUAGUUUAUAAAAACAUUACAUUUUCACUGUAAAAAUGAUGCAAUCAUCUAUAAAUU